GGCAUGCCUGUCCGAGCGUCAUUAUCACCACUCAAGCACCGCUUGGCCCUAGGCCCUGCCGUCUGGCGGGCCCUAAAUCAAGUAGCGGGCCCCGUCGGCGUCGAGCGUAGUCUUACCUCUUGCCCUGACGCCCCGGGACCCAGCUAGAAGCCACUUCUACGGUUGACCUCGGAUCAGGUAGGGAUACCCGCUGAACUUAA
rnacentral:misc_RNA from 1 species